AGUGAACGCUGGCGGUAGGCCUAACACAUGCAAGUCGAACGGCAGCACAGUAAGAGCUUGCUCUUACGGGUGGCGAGUGGCGGACGGGUGAGGAAUACAUCGGAAUCUACUUUUUCGUGGGGGAUAACGUAGGGAAACUUACGCUAAUACCGCAUACGACCUACGGGUGAAAGCAGGGGAUCUUCGGACCUUGCGCGAUUGAAUGAGCCGAUGUCGGAUUAGCUAGUUGGCGGGGUAAAGGCCCACCAAGGCGACGAUCCGUAGCUGGACUGAGAGGAUGAUCAGCCACACUGGAACUGAGACACGGUCCAGACUCCUACGGGAGGCAGCAGUGGGGAAUAUUGGGCAAUGGUCGCAAGCCUGAUCCAGCCAUACCGCGUGUGUGAAGACGGCCUUCGGGUUGUAAAGCCCUUUUGUUGGGAAAGAAAAGCAGCAGGUUAAUACCCCGCUGUUCUGACGGUACCCAAAGAAUAAGCACCGGCUAACUUCGUG
rnacentral:rRNA from 1 species